UGCUGGAGGUAUCAGAAGUGCGAAUGCUGACAUAAGUAACGAUAAAGCGGGUGAAAAGCCCGCUCGCCGGAAGACCAAGGGUUCCUGUCCAACGUUAAUCGGGGCAGGGUGAGUCGACCCCUAAGGCGAGGCCGAAAGGCGUAGUCGAUGGGAAACGGGUUAAUAUUCCCGUACUUGGUGUUACUGCGAAGGGGGGACGGAGAAGGCUAUGUUGGCCGGGCGACGGUUGUCCCGGUUUAAGCGUGUAGGUGUGUGUUCCAGGUAAAUCCGGUUCACUUUAACACUGAGGCGUGAUGACGAGGCACUACGGUGCUGAAGCAACAAAUGCCCUGCUUCCAGGAAAAGCCUCUAAGCAUCAGGUAACAUCAAAUCGUACCCCAAACCGACACAGGUGGUCAGGUAGAGAAUACCAAGGCGCUUGAGAGAACUCGGGUGAAGGAACUAGGCAAAAUGGUGCCGUAACUUCGGGAGAAGGCACGCUGACACGUAGGUGAAGUGAUUUACUCACGGAGCUGAAGUCAGUCGAAGAUACCAGCUGGCUGCAACUGUUUAUUAAAAACACAGCACUGUGCAAACACGAAAGUGGACGUAUACGGUGUGACGCCUGCCCGGUGCCGGAAGGUUAAUUGAUGGGGUCAGCGCAAGCGAAGCUCCUGAUCGAAGCCCCGGUAAACGGCGGCCGUAACUAUAACGGUCCUAAGGUAGCGAAAUUCCUUGUCGGGUAAGUUCCGACCUGCACGAAUGGCGUAAUGAUGGCCAGGCUGUCUCCACCCGAGACUCAGUGAAAUUGAACUCGCUGUGAAGAUGCAGUGUACCCGCGGCAAGACGGAAAGACCCCGUGAACCUUUACUAUAGCUUGACACUGAACAUUGAGCCUUGAUGUGUAGGAUAGGUGGGAGGCUUUGAAGCGUGGACGCCAGUCUGCGUGGAGCCGACCUUGAAAUACCACCCUUUAAUGUUUGAUGUUCUAACGUGGACCCGUUAUCCGGGUUGCGGACAGUGUCUGGUGGGUAGUUUGACUGGGGCGGUCUCCUCCUAAAGAGUAACGGAGGAGCACGAAGGUUGGCUAAUCCUGGUCGGACAUCAGGAGGUUAGUGCAAUGGCAUAAGCCAGCUUGACUGCGAGCGUGACGGCGCGAGCAGGUGCGAAAGCAGGUCAUAGUGAUCCGGUGGUUCUGAAUGGAAGGGCCAUCGCUCAACGGAUAAAAGGUACUCCGGGGAUAACAGGCUGAUACCGCCCAAGAGUUCAUAUCGACGGCGGUGUUUGGCACCUCGAUGUCGGCUCAUCACAUCCUGGGGCUGAAGUAGGUCCCAAGGGUAUGGCUGUUCGCCAUUUAAAGUGGUACGCGAGCUGGGUUUAGAACGUCGUGAGACAGUUCGGUCCCUAUCUGCCGUGGGCGCUGGAGAACUGAGGGGGGCUGCUCCUAGUACGAGAGGACCGGAGUGGACGCAUCACUGGUGUUCGGGUUGUCAUGCCAAUGGCACUGCCCGGUAGCUAAAUGCGGAAGAGAUAAGUGCUGAAAGCAUCUAAGCACGAAACUUGCCCCGAGAUGAGUUCUCCCUGAGACUUAGAGUCUCCUGAAGGAACGUUGAAGACGACGACGUUGAUAGGCCG
rnacentral:rRNA from 1 species